AAAUANACUNGGCUCCACGCGUUGGGNNGCUCUCNUUUCNCUUUGACCUGCCCGCGGCCGCACUAGUGAUUUGGGUUUGAUCAUGGCUCAGAUUGAACGCUGGCGGCAGGCUUAACACAUGCAAGUCGAGCGGAAACGAAGGUAGCUUGCUACCAGGCGUCGAGCGGCGGACGGGUGAGUAAUACUUAGGAAUCUACCGAGUAGUGGGGGAUAGCCAUUGGAAACGAUGAUUAAUACCGCAUAUAUCCUACGGGGGAAAGCAGGGGACCUUCGGGCCUUGCGCUAUUCGAUGAGCCUGAGUGAGAUUAGCUAGUUGGUGGGGUAAAGGCCUACCAAGGCGACGAUCUCUAGCUGGUCUGAGAGGAUGAUCAGCCACACUGGAACUGAGACACGGUCCAGACUCCUACGGGAGGCAGCAGUGGGGAAUAUUGCACAAUGGACGAAAGUCUGAUGCAGCCAUGCCGCGUGUGUGAAGAAGGCCUUCGGGUUGUAAAGCACUUUCAGCGAGGAGGAAAGGUCAGUAAGUAAUAUUUGCUGGCUGUGACGUUACUCGCAGAAGAAGCACCGGCUAAUUUAGUGCCAGCAGCCGCGGUAAUACUAAAGGUGCAAGCGUUAAUCGGAAUUACUGGGCGUAAAGCGCGCGUAGGUGGUUUGUUAAGUUGGAUGUGAAAGCCCAGGGCUCAACCUUGGAACUGCAUUCAAAACUGACUCACUAGAGUACGAGAGAGGUUAGUGGAAUUUCCUGUGUAGCGGUGAAAUGCGUAGAGAUGGGAAGGAACACCAGUUGGCAARGSSAMYKRMUGGCUCGAUACUGACACUGAGGUGGSRAAGCGUGGGGAGCAAMCGGRWWUAKAYACCCCGGUAGUCCACGCCGUAAACGAUGUCUACUAGCCGUUGGAGGACUUGAUCCUUUAGUGGCGCAGCUAACGCGAUAAGUAGACCGCCUGGGGAGUACGGUCGCAAGAUUAAAACUCAAAUGAAUUGACGGGGGCCCGCACAAGCGGUGGAGCAUGUGGUUUAAUUCGAAGCAACGCGAAGAACCUUACCUACUCUUGACAUCCAGUGAACUUAGCAGAGAUGCUUUGGUGCCUUCGGGAACACUGAGACAGGUGCUGCAUGGCUGUCGUCAGCUCGUGUUGUGAAAUGUUGGGUUAAGUCCCGUAACGAGCGCAACCCUUGUCCUUAGUUACCAUCAUUCAGUUGGGGACUCUAAGGAGACUGCCGGUGACAAACCGGAGGAAGGCGGGGACGACGUCAAGUCAUCAUGGCCCUUACGAGUAGGGCUACACACGUGCUACAAUGGCAUGUACAAAGGGUUGCCAAGCCGCGAGGUGGAGCUAAUCCCAUAAAGCAUGUCGUAGUCCGGAUUGGAGUCUGCAACUCGACUCCAUGAAGUCGGAAUCGCUAGUAAUCGUGAAUCAGAAUGUCACGGUGAAUACGUUCCCGGGCCUUGUACACACCGCCCGUCACACCAUGGGAGUGGGUUGCUCCAGAAGUAGAUAGCUUAACCUGGCUUGCCAGGAGGGCGUUUACCACGGAGUGAUUCAUGACUGGGGUGAAGUCGUAACAAGGUAGCCAAAUAACNGCGGACCANGCGGCCGGGAGCUNGAUGGNCCNUG
rnacentral:rRNA from 1 species